GACGAACGCUGGCGGCGUGCCUAAUACAUGCAAGUUGAGCGCUGAAGGUUGGUACUUGUACCAACUGGAUGAGCAGCGAACGGGUGAGUAACGCGUGGGGAAUCUGCCUUUGAGCGGGGGACAACAUUUGGAAACGAAUGCUAAUACCGCAUAAAAACUUUAAACACAAGUUUUAAGUUUGAAAGAUGCAAUUGCAUCACUCAAAGAUGAUCCCGCGUUGUAUUAGCUAGUUGGUGAGGUAAAGGCUCACCAAGGCGAUGAUACAUAGCCGACCCGAGAGGGUGAUCGGCCACAUUGGGACUGAGACACGGCCCAAACUCCUACGGGAGGCAGCAGUAGGGAAUCUUCGGCAAUGGACGAAAGUCUGACCGAGCAACGCCGCGUGAGUGAAGAAGGUUGUCGGAUCGUAAAACUCUGUUGGUAGAGAAGAACGUUGGUGAGAGUGGAAAGCUCAUCAAGUGACGGUAACUACCCAGAAAGGGACGGCUAACUACGUG
rnacentral:rRNA from 1 species